GAUGAACGCUAGCGAUAGGCUUAACACAUGCAAGUCGAGGGGCAGCAUGGUCUUAGCUUGCUAAGGCUGAUGGCGACCGGCGCACGGGUGCGUAACGCGUAUGCAACUUGCCUCACAGAGGGGGAUAACCCGUCGAAAGACGGACUAAUACCGCGUACACUCUAUGUUGGGCAUCCAAUGUAGAGGAAAUGAAAUUCGCUGUGAGAUAGGCAUGCGUCCCAUUAGCUAGUUGGUGAGGUAACGGCUCACCAAGGCGACGAUGGGUAGGGGAACUGAGAGGGUGAAACCCCACACUGGUACUGAGACACGGACCAGAAUCCUACGGGAGGCAGCAGUGAGGAAUACUAGUCAAUGGGCGAGAGCCUGAACCAGCCAAGUCGCGUGAAGGAUGACUGUCUUAUGGAUUGUAAACUUCUUUUAUACGGGAAUAACAAGAGUCACGUGUGGCUCCCUGCAUGUACCGUAUGAAUAAGCAUCGGCUAACUCCGUG
rnacentral:rRNA from 1 species